GAUGAACGCUGGCGGCGUGCCUAAUACAUGCAAGUCGAGCGAACGGACGAGAAGCUUGCUUCUCUGAUGUUAGCGGCGGACGGGUGAGAAACACGUGGAAAACCUACCUAUAAGACUGGGAUAACUUCGGGAAACCGGAGCUAAUACCGGAUAAUAUUUUGAACCGCAUGGGUCAAAAGUGAAAGACGGUCUUGCUGUCACUUAUAGAUGGAUCCGCGCUGCAUUAGCUAGUUGGUAAGGUAACGGCUUACCAAGGCAACGAUGCAUAGCCGACCUGAGAGAGUGAUAGGCCACACUGGAACUGAGCCACGGUCCAGACUCCUACGGGAGGCAGCAGUAGGGAAUCUUCCGCAAUGGGCGAGAGCCUGACGGAGCAACGCCGAGUGAGUGAUGAAGGUCUUCGGAUCGUAAAACUCUGUUAUUAGUGAAGAACAUAUGUGUAAGUAACUGUGCACAACUUGACGGUACCUAAUCAGAAAGCCACGGCUAACUACGUG
rnacentral:rRNA from 1 species